rnacentral:lncRNA from 1 species
GGGCUGCGGUGUCCUUCGCUACAGCGGACCAGGGUCCCCUGGCCCAGCGGAAAUGUGCUGUGCGGCAGGAGGGGCAUGGAGGCUGUGGGGUCGGCUGCGGGGGAGGGGCAGGUACCCAGAGGUCACCGAGCAGCCCGAAAAAUCACUCAGUGGUGUGCGGUCAGCGUGCUCACGUGAGGCAGUAAAAGAGCACAUUGAGGCAGCUGUAUUCAAAUCCUGCUCUUCAGCUGUCCCCUGGUGCCUUAACCUCUUGGGGCCUCAUUUCACUCCCUGAAAAAAUACUUUUAAUUGAUACCUACUACAGGAAGAGGUUGUAAAGAUAAUGAGUGGGCAGGGCACACUGAAGAUGGUUCCUACAUAGUACCCAUCCCAAUUAUGGCAGUUCAUCCUUACUGCCAAUCUGAGAGAAUUAGUCCCAGGAAUCGCAAACAGGAUGCCAACAGGGGAAUGAGUUCAGGCCUUGGAGUCAGACAGAGUUGCCUUCACAUUCUACCUUGCCACCUAUUGGCCUUGGGACCUGGGCCAUCCCCAGCCUCCAAGAUCUCUGUGGACUGGACCGAGAUGAUACCUUCCUUCUGGGGGACUUGUGGAAAUUGAAAGAGAUGCUUUAUGUACUGUGCCAGGUACAUUAUUAGAAUAAGGGUAAAACAUAUCUCUUAUGAAUUUUUGGAAGUAUCUUUUAAUAUAUAUGAAAAUAUACUGCAAACUAUAAAGUAAUAUAAAAUAUCA